GCCUCCCUUUCGGCUUUUUGUGCCCUUCUAAUUUCCGCUGCUGAAACGCGAGUCAUAUGUGGAGGAAGUUCUUCCCUCUCCAAAUCCAGCUCUCCAAUUAAAACAACAUUCUCGCCUCGAAUAACAUAUAGACCUAAAGGUAUAUCACAAUAGAGGUCACCGACAAUAACCCUUUCGCAUGCACCCUCGAGAACAGCAUUGGCAAAUUGAUCAAAAGAACGUAAUAUUCCCAGGAGCUUUCGGCCAUCUCGCAGAAGCACUAGUAGCUUCUCUGAGGCAAAAAUAAAAGAACAAGACCCAACAAUUAAUAGCAAUGAAACUCACAUUUUUUCAAUAAUUUGUAUCUGAACGCCAUGCAAACAUCAUCAACUAUAUUAUAGAGUAAAAAUCAUCUAUUUUUCUUUCUUAAGUGUAACAGUUGUAAAACAAGAUAGACCAUUUAAAUGAAUGACGAAAAACCCUACAACAGAAAAACUAACAUGCAUAUAACACCAUGGAUACAUUUUAGUUCAUUGGCAAAUAUCUUGCCCAUGAUUUGAAAGAUCUUUAUCAAACAACAUUCUAGAUGCUGCAAAAUCGGUAUUGAAACUACAACCAUCAAAGUUUUGAACUGAAAAGUAACAAAAUUAAAAUUUUUCUUUAGUUAAAAAGAUUAGCCGUUCAUCACCAACUAAUUCUAAAAACACCAUUAGUUAUCAGCUAAAAACAGUGCGAUUGAGCGAAUAAACUAAAAAAAUGAUAUGGAUCUUUGAUAUCUCCAGUAGAUGGAUGAGCGGCUAUCAGUAUAAUGCUAAUAUGCACCAAUCAUAUACAUGACUUCCAAAUGAAUUCUAAGUGAACAAAUUAUACUAUGUAUAGCUCCAAAACAUAGUAAAAUAAAAAACUGUAAUAAAAAUUAGUUCUCGGACAGCGCUUCUUUCAAACCCAAUUAAAGCGUUCAGCGCAUUAAUUUCAGUAUUGAAUUACAGCAACCUCUGAGCAGCACAGUGUUGCUCACGCCAGAAGUCUCUUGAGGACACUGUACUGCAACUGAAGAAACACACACCACAUAGGAAACAACUAUUUUUCCAUCUUUUUACUUGAUUAAUACAAACAGCAACUUCUAAACAACAUAAAUUCCCCAGGCAAAUUCUACUGAAGAUCGAAAGUUUUUCACAUAGCACAAGAUAUCAAUCCGAGGAGCACGAAGAACGUAAUAAUUAAUGAGAGGGGAGGACUUAC
rnacentral:misc_RNA from 1 species